GAAAGCUAUCAAACAGAGGAAACGAGGAGGGCCUGCUGCCACAGAGAAGGACUGAGAUGACAUGAGACAAGAGGACUGAGACUGUGGAGGAACUGAUGUGAAGGGCAGAGACACGAGGAGAAAAAAAAGACUCAAAACAAACUGGUGUAAUAAAAUGGGACAGAAGACUCUGACAAGAACUGACUGGCUUUUAACUGCUCGGGAGGUGACUGGAUGACAUGGGAACCAGAUACUGUUCCCACAGCCUGUGUUGGGUUCCUACCUCGGUGGCUGAUGUUCCUCCAUCUCAAAGACUUCCAAGAAGAUCCUUCCUUGGACCGUUCCUCGUCUUCCUGGAUCCUAGCCACACUGCUGCUCGGUAAACCAUCGCUCUCCUGCCUGUCCACCCUCAGUCUGCUUUGGCUCUUCUAUCAGCGUCAUUCUGGAGAAGGACAAACUAAUGCUCUCCCAGCAUCACUUCUCAAACACAACCAACCUGUCAAUGUCAGACUCAGAGAGUUACUCACCUUCCCUGGACCUCCAUUUUCAUCACCACAUAUGUUCAUCCAGAUCCCGGUGCAGAACCCUAAAGUUAUUUUCCUUGAGUUCCUGAAUGAAUCACUUGAAAAAAAAAAAAAAAACGUCAAGCAUGUCUGUAAUUGUUGCUUUCACCAUAGCUGAAGCCAGUAUAAAUAUGACACCUAGUCCAUGAUUAGACAUAAACCAUGAAAUGUUCAAGAAACGUCUCACCUCUACUGCUGUCAUGUGGAGUUGUUUUAAAUAUAUUUCCAGUUUGCCACAACAUUCCUUGAUUAUACAUUUGGCAGAGUGAAAAAGCCAGUCCCAGCCUUAGUUUGUGCUCCAUAAACUUGACAUUUAUAACAUUGCUUUUAAAACAUGAUAAACUCAGAGAAAAUAGAAAUGCAUCAUGCUUUAGAUUGAUAACUAUUUGGACUGUUCAAAAUAUAACAGCAGGAAAGUCAGAGUGAGUGUGAGAGGAUGAUGCAAAGGAAAAGACAGUAUUAGAGACAUUUGUUCAGACAUAAAGCAGCAGUUUUUGCAUAAGGGACUACACAAUGUAACAUAGGUAACAUUAACAUACCUAUUUCAGAUUAUUGAAAGUAGAACUAAAGAGAGGCUGAACUCAAAUGUAUACACUGUAUAGCAGACCGUACAGUGUGCCAAAUGCUUUUCUGAAUGCUUCUUGUAACCAAACAUUUGUCGGUACAAACCAAGGACAGUUUUCCUCCUCAGUACGAUUAAAGCUGCAUGUUUUGAAUACUUUAACCAUCUUUGCCCCAUAUUACUCUCAAAAUGUGUUUGAUCCAGGUCCUUCAUGUGACUGUGUAACCUGAUUGGAAAUGGGAGUUUAUUGUUACUGAAGUGUUCUUUGAUGCACCCUUAAAGUACAACAGCUUAAAGCUUAAAGUACAACAGUAACUGGGUAAUGUUAAUGAAAAAAGAAAUUAGAAGACACAAAAAAAAACAUAUUAAGACUCAUGGAAGACACAAGUUUGCGUUCCGGAGGGGACACAAGGGGCCAGGUUCGUAUCCCACAGAUUGCCCACAGAAUCAGUCCAGGGGCCACACAUGGUCCCUAAGCCUUCACAACAUCAAUCUCUGUCACUGAGUAAAAGGGUGAAUAUAUUAUACUAAGUUUCAAAAUAACAUAAAUCAGUGUAAAGGAUGUAUGUUCUGACAAUUCUAUUUUGGAAAAUUUGUUUGCAAAAUGUCCCAUUUAUUUUGUUUGUUUGUAAUAAGUUAUUUCAUAUUAUAAAUAUGAUACAAUUCCUUCACUUAGCUGCAAAGGGUCUGAGAAGAAAAUAACCCAGUUCUUUAAAGGUUUUGAAAAGAUGGAGCCCAAACUGUAAAAUUUUGUCAAAAAUAAAUGUGAAAGUUCUAAGGCAAUGCGCACAUCACAGCCAGCAGGGGGCCUCAUCGAGCUGCGUUUUAGGAUACCAGGUAAUGAAACAUGAAGCCAGAAGUAAACAAAAUCGCCCUGAAAUGAUAUAUUUAGAACAUAGCUGGAGCGGUAAGGCAUUUGUCAUACAAUAGUAAGAGUUAACGUUUCAAAGAUCUAUAAUUAGAUUGGUCUAAUCUUCAGUCAACAUUUCACACAUUCUGUACAACAGUCUGAUAAAACAGAAUAAAGUGUUGCUUCCCAUGCAUCUCAACUUGGCUGUCGUUAUAAGUAUUGUUAAGUACAUAAUGCCUAGUUGGACUAAUUAUUGCUGAUGUCUGAAACGUACGUUUUAGAAGGAAAAAUGUAAUGCAUUUUAGAUUUUUACAAUCCUGUUGUUGCAAGUGAUACAUUUUGUUUAAGACAUCCAAAAUAAAAAGAUAAACUACCAGAUAUCUUUAAAAUAACUUUUCUAAUGAAUACAAAUUAGAACGAGCAAUAAUUUUGUUUUUACAAAUAUCCAGUAUUCAUCCAGUAUUCCCGAAAUUUUAGA